rnacentral:rRNA from 1 species
CCGGCCUAACACAUGCAAGUCGAGCGAUAACCAUGGCUUCCGCCAUGGGGAGAGCGGCGAACGGGUGAGUAACACGUGAGCGAUCUGCCCUCGACACUGGGAUAGCCCGGGGAAACCCGGAUUAAUACCGGAUAGCCUCUCGGGUCUACGGGCCCGUGAGAAAAGAUGGCUUCGGCUUUCGGUUGAGGAGGAGCUUGCGGCGGAUUAGCUUGUUGGUGAGGUAACGGCUCACCAAGGCGACGAUCCGUAGCUGGUCUGAGAGGACGAUCAGCCACACUGGGACUGAGGCACGGCCCAGACUCCUACGGGAGGCAGCAGUGGGGAAUCUUGCGCAAUGGGCGAAAGCCUGACGCAGCGACGCCGCGUGAGGGAAGAAGGCCUUCGGGUUGUAAACCUCUUUCAGGAGGGACGAAGCUACUCGGGUUAAUAGCCCAGAGGGUGACGGUACCUCCAGAAGAAGCCCCGGCUAACUACGUGCCAGCAGCCGCGGUAAUACGUAGGGGGCAAGCGUUGUCCGGAAUCAUUGGGCGUAAAGAGCGUGUAGGCGGCCAGAAAAGUCCGCUGUGAAAACUCGAGGCUCAACUUCGAGCUGUCGGUGGAAACUUUCUGGCUAGAGUCCGGAAGAGGAGAAUGGAAUUCCUGGUGUAGCGGUGAAAUGCGCAGAUAUCAGGA